rnacentral:lncRNA from 1 species
CGAACAGGUUUCACGGUGCUUCACGGUGCAUAUCUACUACCGAUAAACAGCCCCUCCACUUCCAGGUAGUCUGCGGGACCCGUAGCUUUUAUAAUUGGCAGAGCAGAGCCUGAAACGUGAGCUUUUACUUAUAGAGUGGGUCUAAACUUCCUCAGAUGCUCAGAAACUCGGCUGACCCGCCCCCGAUGGUUUACAUCAGCAUCUCUGGCGGUGGCACCCAAGCCCCCAGUAUUGUUAAGAAGUUUGAGACUUAUCUCCUGACCAAUGAACAUGGCCAAGAAGUCAUCCUCAUUCUCAAGCCCAUGAGCUUACUAUUGGAUUCCAGCUGCACUUCCCUCCUCUUGGCACUCCUUUGCCAAAAUAAACACAGCCCACCCAAGUCCUCGCCGGACUCGCCUCUAGCUUGCUGUACCAUCCAUUUCUCCAAUUGCAAUUUCUCUGCCAUUCCCAAAUAA